CUGGCGGCGUGCCUAACACAUGCAAGUCGAACGAAGCAUUUGAAUGGAUCCCUUCGGGGUGAAGCUCUUAUGACUUAGUGGCGGACGGGUGAGUAACGCGUGGGUAACCUACCUCAUACAGGGGGAUAACAGUUAGAAAUGACUGCUAAUACCGCAUAAGCGCACAGUAUUGCAUGAUACAGUGUGAAAAACUCCGGUGGUAUGAGAUGGACCCGCGUCUGAUUAGCUAGUUGGUGAGGUAAUGGCCCACCAAGGCGACGAUCAGUAGCCGGCCUGAGAGGUUGAACGGCCACAUUGGGACUGAGACACGGCCCAAACUCCUACGGGAGGCAGCAGUGGGGAAUAUUGCACAAUGGGCGAAAGCCUGAUGCAGCGACGCCGCGUGAACGAAGAAGUAUUUCGGUAUGUAAAGUUCUAUCAGCAGGGAAGAUAAUGACGGUACCUGACUAAGAAGCACCGGCUAAAUACGUG
rnacentral:rRNA from 1 species